AUGCGACGGCAUGAUAUACAUACAACUACUACUUCAACUACACAACUGAGAAUCCUCGCCGGGCAUGCUGAGGAAGCUGGUGCCGGAGCCGCCGGCCUCGUGGUCAUUGGCGGUCGGGCACACCUCCGGCUCGUCGUCCUCCACAAACUUGGUGAAGAUCUCGACGAUCUCCUGCUUCCGCCGGCGGAGGAAGGGGUGGUUGCCCUCCACCUCGUACUCCGACUCAAAGGACUCAAGGAGCACCUGCUGCUCUGCCAAGUGGUCCGCCUGGGCCGCAUCGAACUCCGCCAUGGCAUUGUCCAUGUCGAAGCCCGCAGGCUCUAG
rnacentral:rRNA from 1 species